rnacentral:snoRNA from 1 species
ACCAAUUUUUGGGGGCUUGAUUUGUGUUUCCUCCAUAUGUAAUGGCUUGGGCGGCAUACUAACUUUUGUGGCUAUUAUUCUGAACCUUUACCUGUUGCCGUUGUUAUGGGAAACGCUACAUACACUC